rnacentral:rRNA from 1 species
UACGUAGGGUGCAAGCGUUGUCCGGAAUUAUUGGGCGUAAAGAGCUCGUAGGCGGUCUGUCGCGUCUGCUGUGAAAACUCAGGGCUUAACCCUGAGCUUGCAGUGGGUACGGGCAGAUUAGAGUGCGGUAGGGGAGACUGGAAUUCCUGGUGUAGCGGUGAAAUGCGCAGAUAUCAGGAGGAACACCGGUGGCGAAGGCGGGUCUCUGGGCCGUAACUGACGCUGAGGAGCGAAAGCAUGGGGAGCAAACAGG